GACGAACGCUGGCGGCGCGCCUAACACAUGCAAGUCGAACGGACAGACCCUGCUUUUGUUGGGUGCUCGAGUGGCGCACGGGGGAGUAACACGUGAGUAAACUGCCCUUGACUUUGGGAUAACUUCAGGAAACUGGGGCUCAUACCGGAUAUGAGCUCCUGCAGCAUGGUGGGGGAUGGAAAGAUUCGGCGGUUGGGGAUGGACUCGCGGCUUAUCAGCUUGUUGGUGGGGUAGUGGCUGACCAAGGCUGCGACGGGUAGCCCGCCUGGGAGGCUGGCCGGGCACAUGGGUACUGCGGGAGGCAGCAGUCUCCAAUGGGAGGCAGUGGUCGAGAGCAUUGCAGAAUAGGGGGAAGCGUGUGACAGCGGCGUUGCGUGCGUGAUGCCGGCUUAUUGGUGAUAAACCGCUUUGGACGGAGACGAAGCGGGAGUGACGGUAAUGGGUAAAGAAGCACCGGCUAACUACGUG
rnacentral:rRNA from 1 species